GUGUGGUGAUUUACAAUUAGUGGAGUGGCAACAGGUGUGGUGAUUUACAAUUAGUGGAGUGGGAACAGGUGUGGUGAUUUACAAUUAGUGGAGUGGGAACAGGUGUGGUGAUUUACAAUUAGUGGAGUGGGAACAUGUGUGGUGAUAUACAAUUAGUGGAGUGGGAACAGGUGUGGUGAUAUACAAUUAGUGGAGUGGGAACAGGUGUGGUGAUUUACAAUUAGGGAAUGUGGGAACAGGUGUGGUGAUAUACAAUUAGUGGAGUGGGAACAGGUGUGGUGAUUGACAAUUAGUGGAGUGGGAACAGGUGUGGUGAUAUACAAUUAGUGGAGUGGGAACAGGUGUGGUGAUUUACAAUUAGUGGAGUGGGAACAGGUGUGGUGAUUUACAAUUAGUGGAGUGGGAACAGGUGUGGUGAUUUACAAUUAGUGAAGUGGGAACAGGUGUGGUGAUUGACAAUUAGUGGAGUGGGAACAGGUGUGGUGAUUUACAAUUAGUGGAGUGGGAACAGGUGUGGUGAUAUACAAUUAGUGGAGUGGGAACAGGUGUGGUGAUUGACAAUUAGUGGAGUGGGAACAGGUGUGGUGAUUUACAAUUAGUGGUGUGGGAACAGGUGUGGUGAUUUACAAUUAGUGGAGUGGGAACAGGUGUGGUGAUUUACAAUUAGUGGAGUGGGAACAGGUGUGGUGAUAUACAAUUAGUUGAGUGGGAAAAGGUGUGGUGAUUUACAAUUAGUGGAGUGGGAACAGGUGUGGUGAUUUACAAUUAUGGAAUGUGGGAACAGGUGUGGUGAUUUACAAUGAGUGGAGUGGGAACAGGUGUGGUGAUUUACAAUUAGUGUAGUGGGAACAGGUGUGGUGAUUGACAAUUAGUGGAGUGGGAACAGGUGUGGUGAUUUACAAUUAGUGGAGUGGGAACAGGUGUGGUGAUUGACAAUUAGUGGAGUGGGAACAGGUGUGGUGAUUUACAAUUAGUGGAGUGGGAACAGGUGUGGUGAUUUACAAUUAGUGGAGUGGGAACAGGUGUGGUGAUUUACAAUUAGCUGAGUGGGAACAGGUGUGGUGAUAUACAAUUAGUGGAGUGGGAACAGGUAUGGUGAUUUACAAUUAGUGGAGUGGGAACAGGUGUGGUGAUUUACAAUUAGGGAAUGUGGGAACAGGUAUGGUGAUUUACAAUUAGUGGAGUGGGAACACGUGUGGUGAUUUACAAUUAGUGGAGUGGGAACAGGUGUGGUGAUUGACAAUUAGUGGAGUGGGAACAGGUGUGGUGAUAUACAAUUAGUGGAGUGGGAACAGGGUUGGUGAUUUACAAUUAGUGGAGUGGGAACAGGUGUGGUGAUUGACAAUUAGUGGAGUGGGAACAGGUGUGGUGAUUUACAAUUAGUGGAGUGGGAACAUGUGUGGUGAUUUACAAUUAGUGGAGUGGGAACAGGUGUGGUGAUUUACAAUUAGUGGAGUGGGAACAGGUGUGGUAAUUGACAAUUAUUGGAGUGGGAACAGGUGUGGUGAUUGACAAUUAGUGGAGUGGGAACAGGUGUGGUGAUUGACAAUUAGUGGAGUGGGAACAGGUGUGGUGAUUUACAAUUAGUGGAGUGGGAACAGGUGUGGUGAUUGACAAUUAGUGGAGUGGGAACAGGUGUGGUGAUUUACAAUUAGUGGAGUGGGAACAGGUGUGGUG
rnacentral:lncRNA from 1 species